AAAUUUCCUCUAUCUUCUCUACCUCGACCCUACUCUGGCCGGCUCUGCUUUCCCUGCCAGAAACGAUAUUCACUUUUGCUUCUGUCGAGCUCCUCUCCUCUCCGCCUCUGGCUGAGGGUAAACUUUAAUCGAAAGAGAGUGAAGUAUCGUCAUGGGUGUUGUUUGUUUCUGUUUGCAUGUUGAGGAUCGUGGGGGAAUACAUGAAUCUAAGUCGUUCAGUCAGUCUACGAGAACAGUAUGUGUCUCAGAUGUUUCCCUGCGAUUUCUCUCCUCCACCUUUUCCUUUGUUUGUGUGUCUCAUGCUGAGGAACAAUUCAGUGCAUUAUCUUGGGUUCACGAGGUGAUUAUCUGUGGUGUUGUUGUUGUUCGCUGAAGGAGAUGGGUGUUGAUUUUGGGUGGAGUGACACGUGUUGGUCGAUUUCUUCUGGGCUUCUUCGUUGCGAGACACAUGGUUAGAUGUGUUUCUUCAUGCAGAGAGGGAUUGUUGUUCGGGUAGUUUCCUUGCGUUCCCAUGCACGAUUUUGGGUGACUCUUGACUCAUGACAGUGUUUGCGUGUCUUGCUACUGCUGCUGAUCUAUUUUUUAGUAAUUUGAGGGGUGACUCAUGGUGUUUGUUUUAGCAUCGAAAUUCAACUUUUUACCCAGUACAUGCAAAUUCAGAGGGUCCAGUAGCUUAUGAUGUUUUGGGUGCAACAGCUCCAUGGAUAAUGCAGAGGAGAGGAAGUGAAGCCGUGGCUUUACAAGUGGUGUUGCGGAAACUAAACUUCAGCUUCAAUGAAGGUCUUCUCUCGGAUUUAAUAUUAUCUUUGCUUUUAAAAUUUUGAACACAUCUCUUCUCAGUCUGAUAAAGUUUUCUUUCAUCUUUUUAUUUUUUAUGCUUUUCCAUGAGAUUCACUUAUGUCCUAGUGCGCGUGAGAUGGAUCUAUUUGAUCAUAACAAAGACCAUCAUGUAAAGAGUUUAGUUGCAGAGUCAGCGAAUGGUUUGAGCUCAGGCCAGAAAGCGCGGGCAUCUACCUAGAUUAAGUGAGACGUCUCUCUCUUUCCAGGUUUCAUAGGGGUCUCAAGAAGCAGCCCAUGGCCUGCAAAAGUCUUUUGCGGUGGCGUCAAGACUAAACCAGCAAUCCCACCACCGCCUCUUUGAAAAUUCUUCGUUGGUAAGACCAUCGCAGAGAGUUAAAUUCAAAAAAUAAAUCAACAAAGCCUUAACGUUCCUAAGGUAUGCGAAGUACCAUUUGUCUCAAAAAUGAAUGAAUCUUUUUUUCUUAUAUGUUUGUCUCUAUUUCUUUAAGUACGUAAAGUGACAUUUGUCUCUCAAAAAAUGUGAAAAAUGGAUGUAAACCAAUCUUAUUGUGUUAUGAGCUAUAUUGCUACUUUGGAUGUUGCCAUGGAAUCUAAUCAGAUGUGAGGAGAGUGCUCUGAAGGUAUGAUUUAAAUUUUCAACUUGAGCUAUUAUUUAGUGCUGUAAUUCUCAUUUUUGUUUACAUGUUCUGCGGCAUCGAUCCAAUGGUGAGGGGAGACUGUGAGGCUGACAUUGUAGCGGAAAGGAAUCUUGCUUGGUGAUCUGGAUACUAACUCUGAUGGAGAUUGUCGAUUUUUUGAAAAUCGAUGCUAUAACAAACACCAUCAAUGAAAAAAAAAAAUAUAAUUAUUACAUGUUAUUUUUGUGCAGGGAUGUUUCUAUAGCAAGAUCUUUUAUUUACCUUUUGUUUCUUGAACUGAUGAUGCAAAAGUCAUUUCCUGAUCUUUGUUAAUGAACGUUUUGGAAAUAUAUUUGUUUUCUUGGAUCUCUGUUCGGCAGCUUUCGCUGGGUGAUAUGUAAAUAUGUCCUCAAUGCAGUGAUGCUAUGAGGACACUGGAUAGAUACAAGAGGGCUGGACAGCAGGUUGAAUUAUAUUAAAAAUCCCCGUGCGUCAUUCUUAAAAGCGAUGGAAAAGAGUAUUUGAGAGAAGCAACUCCAUGGACGUGGUGAUUGUGGUAUGAUCCUAUGUUGAGUGAAUUGUGGAGUACUCACGCUACUUGCCUUCCUGUGUCGACCAAGCACAAUCAUAACUUACUCUAUGUAAACAAAUGGAUUAGCAAAACUUGGACGGCCUAUGGAUUAUCAUGUGGAAUGAUCUAUUUCGGAAGGGACAUGGUUCACUCGGAGAUAUUAUGCUAUAACAUCAGUCAUCCAGUGAGAGCAACUGAGAAAACUGAGGCUGCUCAGAGAUAUAGAAUGCAAGUUGAGAUGGCUGCUAAGUUGGAAGGAGGCAUUUCACAUCUUCCAUUGAUUGAUCCAUCAAAAGAACACCACCUCUAGCUACAUAUGAAUGGAGAAAAAAAUUGGAAGAAGUUCAUGAACUUGAUGAUACAUCAAAUUCCACAUUUGACAAAAACUACGUUUCAUUGGAUGUGAGAAAUGGAAAUGAAGACUGAAAGGUUCUUGGAUGAUGCCAUCAAUGUUUUUGCUUAUGUACUGAAGUGAUCCCCAUUGGGAAAUUUCUGUGUAACAUCAGGCACCAAAAUCAAACCAAAGUCAAUCAUUUCGAUCAAUGUGAGCAACACCUCUAGGCAAGAGUAAUUGGUCUGGUCGACAACACUGCAAUCGCUAAUGCUUGAGAUGCUGCUUACAAGUUUUAACUUUUUAUGGCUAUGAAAUCUAAGAUUUUCCAAUUUAUAUGGCGAGUAAUCUUGUUUGACAGACAGCAGCAGGGUUUUCAAAAUUUGUACACUUUGAAGGGAGGGGUUUCUCACCAUCUUGAGAAAGAAGAUCUUCGGAAGUGGACUGGGAAUUGGUUUGUUUUUGACUCCUCCCGUCUUUCUCUUCCUCCUUCUGCCUAUAAGAAAGAAGCAGUGAAGGAAGCAAGCAAGACUCGACCAACUUCUAAGAGCAAUUUAUUUGCCAACUGUUAUAAAAAAAUAUGUGGCUCCCCAGUCUCAGAAUUAAGGCUCGACCCAUCUCCUUCCUGGAUGGUUGUAUCCACCUAAAAGCUUCAAGAAAGGAAAAAAGAUUGUGGUAAAUGGCUCAUGAAGUUGCAUUUUAGAUGAGCUUGCGGUCAUUUGAACUUUGGAGGGUUCCUUUUUUGUUUUUUUUGGGAGCUUUGGAGGGUUCAGAGUUUAGGUAUAUUUGUAACUGGGAAUUGAUGAAUUCUCUGUACGCAUUACGUGUCAUGUUUAUUGAGAAGAAGUUCUUGGGUUUAUUGGUUUUGAUACGGACAGAAGCAGAAAAUCUCUAAUUGAGUUUAACGUUGCCGAUUUUAAGGUCAUAAUUUUUUUUUCA